CUACGCCUACACCCGCCCGGACACCGGGAACGAGCUGGACAUGGACCUGGGCGAGGGCGACGCCGAGAAGGGCGACAGCGGCGACCCCGAGGGCGAGGGCGGCGCCAUCGAGGAGGACAGGCCGCAGGUGAUGUGCAUGUGAGAUUCCCAGCGGGAUCCGAGACACCGGGAACGGAACCGGCAACAGGAACGGAACCAGCAAUGGGACUGGAAAUGGACUGGGAACCGAACCAGCACCAGGAACGGGACUGGGAAUGGAACCAGCACUGGGAACGGGACUGGGAAUGGAACCAGGACUGGGAACCGAACCAGCACCGGGAAUGGAACUGGGAAUGGAACCAGGACUGGGAACCGAACCAGCACCGGGAAUGGGACUGGGAACCGAACCAGCACCGGGAAUGGGACUGGGAAUGGAACCAGGACUGGGAACCGAACCAGCACCGGGAAUGGGACUGGGAAUGGAACCAGGACUGAGAACCAAACCAGCACCGGGACUGGGAACUGAACCAG